UACAGAGGUCCCAAGCGUUGUUCGGAUUCAUUGGGCGUAAAGGGUGCGUAGGUGGCGUCGUAAGUCGGGUGUGAAAUCUCGGGGCUUAACUCCGAAACUGCAUUCGAUACUGCGGUGCUUGAGGACUGGAGAGGAGACUGGAAUUUACGGUGUAGCAGUGAAAUGCGUAGAUAUCGGAAGGAAGACCAGUGGCGAAGGCGGGUCUCUGGACAGUACCUGACGCUGAGGCACGAAGGCCAGGGGAGCAAACGGG
rnacentral:rRNA from 1 species